rnacentral:lncRNA from 1 species
GUGAUGGAUUUGAGUAUCAAGAAGAGCAAGAAGAAUAGGGAAGGAGAGGGUCAACCCAAAAUUAAGUGGGUUGGAUUGACGCUAGUUAGUGCACUGGAGAUAGGGGAGAAAGUGGCAGAAAUGCGGGUGUGGAAGUGUAGGGGGACAUGGAUUCUAUGUGGGAUAAGGUGGCCAACUGCAUCAGGGAGAUGGCUAGAGAGGUUUUGGGUGUUUCGAGGGGCC